UAUUUUUCCCCAGGAAUCUCUCAGUUACCAUUCUCAUUACAUACAUCCUACCUACUGUUUGUCGUCUUGCCACCAAGCAAGCUCCUGAGGCCAAGUGAUGCUGUUCAGAAGGACCCCUGGCCACCUUCCACCCAGGCCUGCAACUUUCUGAUGAACGUAAGGGUUAUGAACAGCAUGUUCCUAGGAGGAUAACAGGAGAUGGCUGACCUAGAGAGGGAAGCAGAUACUGUUUAAAAAACCUCAAUAUUUCCAAGAACAAACCUAACAGCAACUGGCACUGGGUUUUCUGGAAUGCUUUUGAGGCAUCUUAAUUGCCAGCUGUCUGAGGACUUUGGAUGAACCUCAUUCAAAACUUCAGGCUUUUGUGUCUUGAGGCCGUCAGAUGCACCAGAUGCUGAAGAACGAGCAGCAAACACAUUUGAGGCCAUGCAAGCACCACAGGAUGGGCACCCGCUCUGGUGAGAACAGAAAGGAUGCAGUGGUGAACCUGGAGUGAGCAAGUGUCAGGGCUUCCACCCUGCAGUCUGAAGUGCAGCAUCAAGAUACCCAGCUCCUGAGAUGAAUUUUCAGAAAGUGCCAAAUCCAGCCAGGCCUCUGUAUGAUUAACAAAGAUGCCAUCCCCACCACAGAGAAGUGCAAGAACUGUGGCAAUCACUCAGCAGAGGUGCUUGGAGAGACCGAGAGAGUCAAUGGUAUGGUUAACCCUGAAGCUGUCACGCUGUAGAAAUCAUCUCUUCUGCCUAAUGCAACCCUGUUGUUUUGGCAGCGUGGGCAAACUCUAGCUGGAGGAAGCGCCUGCUUGGCUAAGAGAAUACGGCCUCCUUUUGCAAAGUUAUGAGAAAUUAAGAUCAGAGCGUUAGAUUUCUAUAGACUUAGAAGAGGGUCUUCUAAAUGAUGACCAUAAAUUCUACACAACUGAAAAAUGACAAAGUAACUUCUUUGGGAUUUUGUUUACUGGUUCGGUAGAAUGCCUGCAUGUGGAAAAGCAUCUCUGGGUUAUCUCCUUUUCUCAGCUCUUCCUUCUUUGGAGUAGGACUAUUGCUGCUCUUACUCCUAGUGGUUUCUGAUUGCACUGAGGACAUGCUCCAAAAUCUGCUGAAGCCAACAGAAAAAUUCCCUGAGAGCCCAAAUUCCAAAUUUCUGUGGUGUUCCCCAUUCAAGAUCUUCCAGUGUCUGUCCCCAGCGUGCCAGGAUAGGUCCGGAAUACUUGCUUUUCGAAACAGAAAAAUUAACUCCAACAUGAAACUUGGCACCGACUUCGAAAGGAUUACCCCAGUCAGCUAUGUUCUGGCAAUCCUUGCUUACAGCACAGUUUUCACAUAUGUUAAAUGUUAUGCUGAUAGUUUGCAUAUUCUUAUACUAAAUAAAUAUGUACAUUUAUGUACACUGUGAUGUAAUGGCAAUUUACAUCUCAUAUGACCAUCUGACAUUGUUUCUUCUAGGAAUGGAUGUCUCUCCUCAGCAUCAUGAGA